rnacentral:rRNA from 1 species
UGGGGAAUAUUGCGCAAUGGGCGAAAGCCUGACGCAGCAACACCGCGUGAGGGAUGACGGCCUUCGGGUUGUAAACCUCUUUCAGCUCCGACGAAGCGAAAGUGACGGUAGGAGCAGAAGAAGCACCGGCUAACUACGUGCCAGCAGCCGCGGUAAUACGUAGGGUGCAAGCGUUGUCCGGAAUUAUUGGGCGUAAAGAGCUCGUAGGCGGUCCGUUGCGUCUGCCGUGAAAACCCGGAGCUCAACUCCGGGCCUGCGGUGGAUACGGGCGGACUAGAGUCCGGUAGGGGAGACUGGAAUUCCUGGUGUAGCGGUGGAAUGCGCAGAUAUCAGGAGGAACACCGGUGGCGAAGGCGGGUCUCUGGGCCGGAACUGACGCUGAGGAGCGAAAGCGUGGGGAGCGAACAGGAUUAGAUACCCUGGUAGUCCACGCCGUAAACGGUGGGCGCUAGGUGUGGGGAUCGUUUCCACGAUCUCCGUGCCGUAGCUAACGC